GUCUACAGCAAUGCCACCCUGAACAAACCUGAUCCCAUCUGAUCUCAGACGCUAAGCAGGGUCAGGCCUGGUUAGAUGGGAGACCACCUAGGAAGACCAGGUGUUGUAGGUG
rnacentral:rRNA from 1 species